CAUAGGAUUCUUAUAAGACUCGUUUUCUCUUUAAAAAAAAUAAUAAUAGAAGAAAUAAUAAUAUUUGGAACUGCAGUACUGAAAUUCCUUUUAUAUCACACUGAGGUAUAAAGGAAAAAGCAAAUUUGAGCUGUUUCGAUAUGCACGUUGAUUCAUGAGCCAUAAUAGGAAAUUUAUGAGACAUCUAUUAUAACAAAUUUGUUUAUGAAUUGUUUAAGAGAUCUUUUUUUCUUGCAGGAGAGGGAAAUGGUGUCUUUCUUUAUUUUGAUGGUUACAGCUUUCUUGCUCUGAUGCGACUGCAUUUGGUUACUCGAACAUGAUAUUGCCUGUGUGCACUUCCGAGUAAGACGAGUUCCUAUCUUCAAACAAGUGUUUUUUUUUUUUUUCUUUUUGGUUUUGCUGGUCAUAUUGAAUUUAAAAAUAUCCACGAUGAGUUUAAAUGAUCUGUCGAGUUCCUAGUGGGUGUUCAAAUCGAAAAUGCAUGUGGAAUUUGCCACGAAUCUUACUUACUCUAUCAGGAUUUGCUUAAACAGUUGUUAAUGAAAAUAAUCGUAAAUAAAUGGCAUCGAUAUUUGAAUUAGUCAAUGCAUAUACAGGUAUCAUUCUAUGGACUCCUCAGCCAUUUAUAAGACCCGUCCACCGAUAACGCAAUAGACAUUCGUGUAUUUUAUUAAAUUUUAGCGAAAAGUAAGAGCAAAUAAGUAAUUUUUAUGCAAGUAACGAGUGGGAAAAUGAAGUGAACUACGAUCUGGUCAAAUUUGGAAAACUUUACCCAAACAGGAUUACGAAUAUAAUGCAGAUGGAAACGCGUGUUGUGGUCAUUAUUGGCUUAUCAUUAGCCGAACUGUGUCACAACACACGCUGGAUGCCGAAAACGUGUUGCAGUUUUACUGAUAAAAUAUCUAUGUUUUCGGUUUUACCAGCAUUAAUGUUUCAUUGCAUAUUUUUCUACUGAUUAACAUGUUUUGAAUAGAUCAUGCCGGGUUCAUUUCUAUAUAAACAUCUGCGCUGUUACGAAGAAAGCCUGUUUAGCAACUCAGUUCUCAUGACGGUAUCGCGUAUCUGUUGUAUGGAGUUGUUUUUUGACUCGAAUUACAGUUUACAGUAGAUUAAAUAUGUAUAUAUGGUAAAAAAAAUAAUGCAGAAUAUCGUUUAUUUUACUUUUCAGUGGGUCGAAAUUAUCUUAUACACGUAAAAGCCAACUUUGUUAACAUUGAGCGCAUACCAAUACUAGUUACUCUAUGCAUUAUUUAUGAAUAAUAAUGAAAUAAAACGCGCGGUUGGCGAAUAAUAAUGAAAUGCUACUCAAUCUAAGAUAACAGAAAACAUUCGUUUCUAAUCACGUGAUAGGUAUCGCGCGAUAAACCGGAUCUCGGAUAAACGACAUCGCUUUCAUUACUACGGAGUUUAUGAUAUUAUUAUUAUUCUCUCGUGUAUUUUUCAUUUGGUCGAAGUAAUUAUAUACUUAAGUUGUAGUGAUUAAAGUACUCCAGAACUAGGAGAAGGGUUAUCGUUAAAAUUGGAGAAUAUUUUUCAGUUUCUCCUUCAUAAACCAAGGCGAGAUAAUCAUCGUAACCGACUUAACUGUAUAAUAUUUUUAUCGCUUAACCCAUAAACCUUUUUGGUAUUACUCAAAAUCGGAUGUUGCAAUCAUUUUCUGGUUACAGAAGCGAUGAGUGUAUGUGUAUGUGUGUUGUUGAUGUUACAUAUUUCGCUUAUAAAUAAAAAGAAACACGCGUUAUAAAAUGAUAUAAAUUACGUGUUUAAUUGUUACGUCAGUUCGUCGUCUGUUGUUUAUUGUUACGUGCGUAAUUUUAUCGGCGUUUUCUAGUGUUGCAUGUUCUUUUCGAAAGUCUGGUUUCGGAUGUUAUAAAAUUUGGACCAAAAUCAAUUUUCUUAAAAGGAAAAUGCGCACGAAAUUCUCGUCGAAAAGUGCAGUCGACGUUUCGACCUCUGGGACAAGACGAAAUUUAAGAAUAAUUCAGACAAUAAACUACGUAAUUUUUUUUUUUUUGGUCCUUUUUGAAAUAUUUAAAAUUUCGUUUUCUUCAUUUUUAUCGACGAAAAAAUCGUACAAAAAUAAAAAAAAUAAAAAAAUUGCUACAUCGUCGCGUUUUUGUUAGAGGAAUCG
rnacentral:lncRNA from 1 species